rnacentral:rRNA from 1 species
UACGUGGGGGCCGAGCGUUGUCCGGAGUUACUGGGCGUAAAGGGCGCGCAGGCGGCGGCGUGGGUCCGGCGUGAAAGCCCCCGGCUCAACCGAAGAACGUCGGCCGAUACUGCCGUUCUUGAGGGAUGCAGAGGAGAUUGGAAUUCCCGGUGUAGCGGUGAAAUGUGUAGAGAUCGGGAGGAACACCGGUGGCGAAGGCGGGUCUCUGGGCAUCUCCUGACGCUGAGGCGCGAAAGCGUGGGGAGCAAACGGG